rnacentral:misc_RNA from 1 species
UUAAGUUCAGCGGGUAGUCCUACCUGAUUUGAGGUCAAAUGGUCAUUAAUAUUGUCCAAAGACGAUUAGAAGCAAUGCAACCUCCAGUAAUCCACGGCGUAGAUAAUUAUCACACCAAUAGACGGUUAGAAGGGCACCGGCUAAUACAUUUAAGAGGAGCUGACUUGUGAAAGCCUGCAACCUCCAAGUCCAAGCCAUCU